rnacentral:rRNA from 1 species
CCUACGGGAGACAGCAGUGGGGAAUAUUGCACAAUGGGGGAAACCCUGAUGCAGCGACGCCGCGUGAGUGAAGAAGUCUUUCGGUAUGUAAAGCUCUAUCAGCAGGGAAGAAAAUGACGGUAUCUGACUUAGAAGCCCCGGCUAACUAUGUGCCAGCAGCCGCGGUAAUACGUAGGGGGCAAGCGUUAUCCGGAUUUACUGGGUGUAAAGGGUGCGUAGACGGAGGAGCAAGUCUGAAGUGAAAGCCCGCGGCCCAACUGCUGGACUGUUUUGGAAACUGCCCGGCUAGAGUGCUGGAGAGGUAAGCGGAAUUCCUAGUGUAGCGGUGAAAUGCGUAGAUAUAAGGAGGAACACCAGUGGCGAAGGCGGCUUACUGGACAGUAACUGACGGUGAGGCGCGAAAGCGUGGGGAGCAAACAGGAUUAGAUACCCGAGUAGUC